rnacentral:rRNA from 1 species
CGAACGGGUGCGUAACACGUGAACAACCUGCCCUCGUGUGGGGGAUAGCCAUGCUAACGCGUGGGUAAUACCGCAUACGUUCCCUUGGAGGAGUCUCUGGGGGAGGAAAGCUCCGGCGCACGGGGAGGGGUUCGCGGCCUAUCAGCUAGUUGGCGGGGUAAUGGCCCACCAAGGCAAUGAUCUGUAUCCGGCCUGAGAGGGCGCACGGACACACUGGAACUGAAACACGGUCCAG